ensembl:lncRNA
AGCAUCAUAAAGUGCUCAUGUUAGCUGUGUUCCUGGAGGAGUUAUGCUUUUGGAAGUCAGUUGAAAUUUGAUGGGAGUGGAGAUCUGAGAAGCAGUUGUUGGUAUGGACCAAACAUGUGCACAUGUUGUCAUGUUUUAAUAUAAGAAAUUCUCCUUUCUGUCCAGCAUCCGAAGAGAGCACAUUUCAUAGCGAUUGCUCUGGCAAGUCAAAGUUGCAGCCUUUCUCAUGACAGCUUUCCCUCUACUACAACAAACUCAUCCUCUUUGGAGACAAGAAUUUGCUGCCCCAGCUUCUUUUCAUUGUCUGCUGGCUCUUGUUCUGCCAUUAAUGCUAAAAGCUCCACUUGAUUCUGAGAAGAAACAGAGAGGUACUGAAAGGAAACACUAGUGAGAGUAAAGCCUGGCCUUCCACUGAUACCAGUAAAUCUGCAGAGCUUCAAACAGUUCCACAGCACAGUAUUAUCCAGACUGGGGUGUGCAGCCUUAUUUGUUUGCCUGAAGCUAUGUGGUUAAUAAAUGACUCUUCUAUGGCUUUGUCCACAUUUCUGCUUGUGAGAGCAAAGAAUUACCCAGGCAAGCACAAAGGAAACCAUGAACAUGAGGUAAUCAGCCACAAGUUAUGCAGAAGUCAGUUAGCCGUCAAGCCACAGCUGUAGCGAGUAGUAGGAGUAACUUAAGAGCAGAAGGUAAAGGCAAAUUUAAACAAAAGUGCUGCAUCUUAACUCUUCCACACUGACACCUUACCACCAUGUCUUUAGAUCUGGAAAAGCUUUUAGGAUAACCUUUCCAAGAAGUAGAAGAGAAAGAAGAGAACCAAUGUAGUCUGUCAGUUCUUCCAAGCAAAUGCAGCCUUCUCCAGCUGACCUCAGUCUCUUAGCAUGAACAGUUUGUGUCCUCUUUCCAUUCUGCCAGCAGCUGUGCACAUUCAAACCCUUACUUUGUAUGAAUCAUGCACGAGUGGAAGCCUCUGAGUUUUAUGUCCCUUUGAGUGGUUCUUUGCCUACAUUGGAACAAAAUGUCUAUUUAUUACUGCAGCUUUUCAGGGAUCACCUGCAUUGAGGUGGUCUGGGCAACCAUGGGUGGAAUCAAGUCACAGGACUGUUGGUUUUUUUCCUAAGCUAUUAAUUAACAGAACAUUUUAAAUAUUAAUCCAUUCAGACACAUAUAGCCUUCACAGUGCAGUAUCCAAAGACACCAAGGAUAUGACAACAUAUUGCAGUAAGGAAACAACCUGUCACUUACACAGGGGUUAUUCAGACACAAUAUUUUGUCACUUGGCACUAAGUAUUGAUAAUGCGGGCAGCUUACAUCACUAUAUUUGCAAUGUAAAUAAAUGAAUUUCAAGGUUCUACUGCUGUCUAAGAAGGUUUACACCUAGAGGUGGACUCUUCUGAAGUUCAUCUCCCUUGAAAGUAGCUGUAUAUCAUUGCUUUGGACAAAAAGUCAGCAUGGAAAUUUGAUAGGAAGCAGUUAGACACAGAAGAAUUCUGCAGGACAUUAAAAGCAAAAUUUUAGGACUGUGGAGGCAAAUUUAGAAGGUUGAAGGCUGUGGCUAUCUUGCAGACUGGUGAUUUAAGAUAUUUAAGGUCUUCACUCAUAAAAUAGAGUUGGCUCAGGUUACCUCUUACAAGCUGUUCUCUACACACACAGAAUAUUAUGAGGCUCAAAACUACUAUGACAAUGAAAGCAGUUACAGACGCUGCAAUCCAGAUGUGCAGCUUCCAGGAUAAAUAUCAUACUUGUUUAUAACCAGACUUUGGGAGUAGCAGCAAAGCUGAAUGAAACACAUUUGGACCUUACAAAAAAAAAAAAAAAA